CACAGCAUACUCAAUGUGGUCGUGCAACUAAUACUAUACAAUGUAACUAACUAAUAAUAAAAUGCGCCUAAUCUGACUAACUAAAUUAAUAUUUCACGUACAGUAAUUCUGUGCAAAAGAAAUAACAUUAUGUUACCAAACAGUGCAAGUACUUUAUGUUGGGGUUUCUAAUGACGAUGUAAUUAGAAACUAUCAGAUUGAGCAUGAUCUUUGAUUCAAUUUCAACAUUAAUGUUCAGCCCAGGCACAGUACCGCAGAGGUGCGAUCAUUCAAGAUUUCUAGUCGUACCUGACUGGUACGCCAAUGGUUGUUGCCGCGUACUUGCGCUAGAACAAACUCAGUACUCAAUGCUCAAUGUGUACUUAGUCUUUAAAAAUAAAGUUCAUAAAGUACAGGUUUCUGAAAAGUAUGUUCUGACUACAAGAUAGCAAACGAGUUUUGCUAUUUGAAAAGGGAGUUUGGCUAUUUGAGAAGGGAGGUUUGCUAUUUGAAAAGGGAGUUUUGCUAUUUGAAAAGAGAGUGUUGCUAUUUGAAAAUGAAGUUUUGCUAUUUGAAAAGAAAUUUUUGCUAUUUGAAAAUGGAGUUAUGCUCUUUGAAAAGGGAGUUUUGCUAUUUGAAAAGGGAGUUUUGCUAUUUGAAAAGGGAGUUUUGCUAUUUGAAAAGAAAGUUUUGCUAUUUGAAAAGAAAGUUUUGCUAUUUGAAAAGGGAGUUUUGCUAUUUGAAAAAGGAGUUUUGCUAUUUGAAAAGAGAGUUUUGCUAUUUGAAAAGGGUGUUUUGCUAUUUGAAAAAGGUGUUUUGCUAUUUGAAAAGGGAGUUUUGCUAUUUGAAAAGGGAGUUUUGCUAUUUGAAAAGAGAGUUUUGCUAUUUGAAAAGGGAGUUUUGCUUUUUGAAAAGAAAGUUUUGCUAUUUGAAAAGAAAGUUUUGCUAUUUGAAAAGGGAGUUUUGCUAUUUGAAAAAGGAGUUUUGCUACUUGAGAAGGGAGGUCUGCUAUUUGAAAAGGGAGUUUUGCUCUUUGAAAAGGGAGUUUUGCUAUUUGAAAAGAAAGUUUUGCUAUUUGAAAAGGGAGUUUUGCUAUUUGAAAAGGGAGUUUUGCUAUUUGAAAAGAGAGUUUUGCUAUUUGAACAGAAGGUUUGCUAUUUGAAAAGGAAGUUUUGCUGUUUGAAAACGGAGUUUUGCUCUUUGAAAAGAGAGUUUUGCUAUUUGAAAAGAGAGUUUUGCUAUUUGAA